CGAUUUCCGAAUGGGGAAACCCAGUGUGUUUCGACACACUAUCAUUAACUGAAUCCAUAGGUUAAUGAGGCGAACCGGGGGAACUGAAACAUCUAAGUACCCCGAGGAAAAGAAAUCAACCGAGAUUCCCCCAGUAGCGGCGAGCGAACGGGGAGCAGCCCAGAGCCUGAAUCAGUGUGUGUGUUAGUGGAAGCGUCUGGAAAGGCGCGCGAUACAGGGUGACAGCCCCGUACACAAAAAUGCACAUGCUGUGAGCUCGAUGAGUAGGGCGGGACACGUGGUAUCCUGUCUGAAUAUGGGGGGACCAUCCUCCAAGGCUAAAUACUCCUGACUGACCGAUAGUGAACCAGUACCGUGAGGGAAAGGCGAAAAGAACCCCGGCGAGGGGAGUGAAAAAGAACCUGAAACCGUGUACGUACAAGCAGUGGGAGCACGCUUAGGCGUGUGACUGCGUACCUUUUGUAUAAUGGGUCAGCGACUUAUAUUCUGUAGCAAGGUUAACCGAAUAGGGGAGCCGAAGGGAAACCGAGUCUUAACUGGGCGUUAAGUUGCAGGGUAUAGACCCGAAACCCGGUGAUCUAGCCAUGGGCAGGUUGAAGGUUGGGUAACACUAACUGGAGGACCGAACCGACUAAUGUUGAAAAAUUAGCGGAUGACUUGUGGCUGGGGGUGAAAGGCCAAUCAAACCGGGAGAUAGCUGGUUCUCCCCGAAAGCUAUUUAGGUAGCGCCUCGUGAAUUCAUCUCCGGGGGUAGAGCACUGUUUCGGCAAGGGGGUCAUCCCGACUUACCAACCCGAUGCAAACUGCGAAUACCGGAGAAUGUUAUCACGGGAGACACACGGCGGGUGCUAACGUCCGUCGUGAAGAGGGAAACAACCCAGACCGCCAGCUAAGGUCCCAAAGUCAUGGUUAAGUGGGAAACGAUGUGGGAAGGCCCAGACAGCCAGGAUGUUGGCUUAGAAGCAGCCAUCAUUUAAAGAAAGCGUAAUAGCUCACUGGUCGAGUCGGCCUGCGCGGAAGAUGUAACGGGGCUAAACCAUG
rnacentral:rRNA from 1 species